AAUAAAAUGUUUGAAAAUGUUUCAUUCUUCACCUCCACUUGAACUCUCCUGAUGAACUUCAGCGUUCUGAGACAGACCUUCAGUUUAAAGGCUUAAAACUGCUUCUCAGGACAGUGCCAUUAGCAGCAGGUGAAACCCAUGUUCAGCGUUCUCCAGGUGCUCUCAGGAGGCGGAGUCUGUCUGAGGCUGUGAACGGUUUUGAGAGGAUCUGGAAUCAAACCAGCUUCUUGACGGUGACGACCGCUCCACCACAGGAAGCUUGGAUCAAACCUGGAUCUUCAUGCUGAUGAAGAGUGAAGGAAGUGGGCCCAAAAGAACCUGGAUAACCCUUGAUGGGGCAUGAAGCUGGUGGAUCCUGUAAAACCUGGUGAUGGGUCACUCUCUUUAGAAUUGAUACAUAGUUACCGUUGACGCAUGGGACCUCUGCAAAUGUCAAAAUUCAUGUGUAGUGUCAGGCAUGUGUAGUUUGUAGCAGGAAAAAGUAUUAAGGUGAAAUUAAAAAAGAAAAAAACCCUAACUCAAACCUUUAUCAUUAUAAUAAAAUUUUAACAAAGAAAAAAAAAAACGUAGUCUAAAUUGUGAGAUUCUCUCUUGAGCCCUACAGCUUUGAAGAAUCAUUAAAACUCAAUCAUUAAAGUCUGUUGAUAUUGUGGAUCAAUUAUCCAUUUAUUUAUCAAUUGUAUUUUUUAUGUCAUUCAUUUUUAUAUUAUCAUUGAUAUAAUAAUAAUGAUAGAUGAAUAAUAAUAUAAAAAAGUAAAACAAAUAUAUAUAUAUAUAUUUGUGUUACUUUUUCUUUCUUCAUUUAGUCUGAAAGCAUCACUCUAUCAUGAUAGUAACAGGUACAUUUCUCGCUAGAAAUAUUGUAAAAAUAAAGAUUAGUCCACAAAAUAUUUUAUUCUGAGUGAUUUUCCACCGAAAAAGAGUGAAUAUCCCACCAUGUUUUUGCUAGCGACAGGCAGAAACUCAAAAGUCACGUGAUCAGUCACGUGAUCCGGAGCAAAUGAAUGAGAAAAUGAGACGUAGGAAUUCCACUUUAGAUCCGUUUUUUUGUGAAACUGCUACGUUUUUCCCUGUGGACAAACGUGGGUACUGCACGUUUUUGUAGGAGACUUCAGGAGCAGGAGAAGGCGUCACCUACAGACAGCUUGAUGUUCUGAGGAUUAGACUCUAGUUUGUUUUUAGGGACUUUUCUUGGUUCUGAUCAGGUUCUGGUUCGAAUUCUGUUAGUCACUCAAGCUAGCCGCCCACAGCUUGUUUCUGAUUGUUCAUGUUCUUCAGCCUGUAGAAGAGUCUGCUUUUCACAACCUGAAUACAGAUGUGGAGGGGUGGGUCCGUUCCUGAGGAGGUAUUUCUCUCUGCAACUUCUUCUCUGAGCUUCAGCCCAGUUUCUUCCCUCAUUGAGUCCAACUUCAGCCUGAAGCUCUGCAGAACAGGCGGUUUUCAUCCUUCAGCUUCACAGCAGAUCAAACUCAGCUGUCAGAGAGUCCGACUGAAAACAAGAAGAUCCUCACAUCAACUCUGCAGAUCUUCAAGCUGAAUGAAAGGGUCGUCAUGGUGACCUGUAGACUUGACACUCAGAGCUUACUGGGGGUUUGGAGGUGUCAUAAUGGUAUGGGCCAAAGAGCUGCUGAUCAGAUCAAGUCAUCAGGAACUCUGAUCUUUCUGCAGCACCAACAUGUUCUUUGUUGGUUCCUGUUGACCUUUGAUGGUUUGUGAGGAAACAUCAGGAAAUUAAUUUUCUUCUUCCAGACUUUUUCAUAUUUGAACUUUGACCUUCAAAGCUCCUUUAGGCCAGAAUUCCUCCUUUGGACCAAAGAGAGCCGAUCAUUGGAGACGUUUGACCAAAAGACUCGCAUUUGUUCUUCAGUUAGUGCGGAACAAAUCUGUAAGUUCAUCAGUUAUUCUUCUGCAGCUUUAGACUUUACUUCACAACAGAAGAUCUUCAGAACAGAAACACAACAGAGAAACAGUGACAUCUUGUGGAAAGUUGAAGAACUUCACGGAAAGAAACCAGUGAAGAAGAACAAACCUGCAGAAGACAAACAAACAUCUGGAUCCAUGUCUCCUGUUUCUUCUGCACAUCUGGAUCAUCCAAGACAAAAAACAAAGCUACAGCAGAGCUGUUCCUCCAUCAAACACUAGGAGGCGCAUGGAGCUGAAAGAAACA